AUUGAACGCUGGCGGCAUGCCUUACACAUGCAAGUCGAACGGCAGCGGGGACUUCGGUCCGCCGGCGAGUGGCGAACGGGUGAGUAAUGUAUCGGAACGUACCAUUGAGUGGGGGAUAACGUAGCGACAGUUACGCUAAUACAGCAUAGUCUCUCCGUAGGAAAGCGGGGGUACGCAAGGCCUUGCGCCUUUUGAGCGGCCGAUAUCAGAGUAGCUAGAUGGUGAGGUAAAAGCUCACCAAGGCGACGAUCUGUAGCGGGUCUGAGGGGAUGGUCCGCCACACUGGAACUGAGACACGGGCCAGACUCCUACGGGAGGCAGCAGUGGGGAAUUUUGGACAAUGGGGGCAACCCUGAUCCAGCCAUGCCGCGUGAGUGAAGAAGGCCUUCGGGUUGUAAAGCUCUUUCGGCCGGGAAAAAAUCGCAUGGGUUCAUACCCUGUGUGGAUGAUGGUACCGGAAUAAGAAGCACCGGCUAACUACGUGCCAGCAGCCGCGGUAA
rnacentral:rRNA from 1 species